AAACGGUGGUCUUCGGUUCUCUAUUUCCCAGAGCUCCUCCGUAGCACAUUUGGUUGACCGACAAGGAAGAAGAAAACAAAAUUUGCUCCUUCGAAGAUGGGCUUUCUCACAAGAGAUAUAUAUAUAUAUAUGAUAUAAAUAUCUUCUCGAAGGAGUGCUUGUUGUCCUCUUCUUGCCGUAACUGUCGGUCCUCUUCGUGCCGUAACGCUGUGAAAAUUUGGCAUCCAAAGCUCUACUCCUGCAGUUGCAAAUCCUGGAAGUGGACAGACGCAAACAUGUAAAUAGACUCGGAAUUCAAAUCCAAACCUAUUUCUAUGCGGCUGCCAUCUAAACAGAACAGGCCUUCCUUGAAAAAUGAACUUAACUGGUACAUUUGGAUUCAUUAACUAUAAAAAUGUUUCAUUUUCAGGGAAAUGUUUGUAUCUUUUCUAUUGAUUUAAUUAUUCAUCUUUAAAUAGUUGUUAUGGUUUAAAUGUAUUGUUCUGAAGUGAUAUUCAGUGAUAAUGAAAGAGUUUCUAUAUAAUUAACCUGUUGGAAGCCUAUCAAAUUCGAAGAAUAUAUUUAUGUCU